rnacentral:misc_RNA from 1 species
ACAAGCCAUCCUAUAUGGUAUACGAAGUAAGUUUUUAGUAUUUGGAACACUCUAAUCAUGAGAACAUCGGUAUUGUGUUCGGCAUUCGUUCUAAUCAUUUGCUGUAACUGUGCGACUUGGUUCAAAAACAAGUAUACCGACACGAAUCGGGCUGUCCCGGGCCACGUCGUAUAUUCUACACCUUCCAUCGGGUGCUCUUUGACUGUACUAGGGUAUACACCAGGUGCCCACAGGAGUAUCAGCAAAACGAAUAUAAAACCAGGGGCGAUUGCCGGAAUGAUUGCUAUUACUAUACAAAGCCUAUCUUAAGUACAGAUCCACCAGGGAACGGUACCAACAAUAACAAUACCAACACUAACAAUACCAAUGGUAACAAACCUCGCAAAUUCCAACCGCUCGUACCCAAGCUCAAACUCAAACCGCCUCCUGAAGUUAAAUCUGUUAAAAAUAAUACUUUCGGUGAGGAAUAUCCCUCAUACCCCGAUGAACGAGCUCCUCCGUUUGAGCCUCCUGCGUUUGGAUCUCCCCGAUUUGAUUACUCCCCCUUUGAUGAUUUUCCUUACUAACUUAGUAUUAGACACGGUUCCAAAAUCAUGAGGC